UUCACGAUAAUGCUGAACAAGAGAUGGCUCCGUAUUUUCGAAACGCUGCAUCGCGACACAUCCAACCCCAUGGACUCCAACGUUUUCAGUAACCGAAUCUGAACGCGAGGCUGCUGUCGGCAUGUCAUCUCGAUAACAACCUGAUUCUUCACAUACUGGAUUGAAUCCUUGAUCACGGUCGCCCUGUCACGCUAUAGAAAAUAUCCAAACAAACAUCCGUGUUUGGUCACUCGACAUAGAAUAUAAAAGCUUGUCACCGAUAGAUCUAACGGGGUAAUACCGCAACAAGUAUAACUUCAAUGUGUUAGUGAUCAUGGAUUGCAUUGAUUAUUUCACACAGCAUUCAAGCAUGUAAACUUCUGCAUGAACCGUCGGUAUUGCCUACAACAACUGUUACAAGUUGUGGAUGAUGCUUAACAAAGGGGAUGUAGAUACUUAGAGGUGGUCAGAGGUCAUGUAAACCCAGAUCAGGUUCACUACUGGACCUCUAUAUUCCGCUGGUAAAUACCGUAUGUAUGCACUGUUUUGGAGCCAGCGUAAUAUAAAUGAAAAUUAACGCCA